rnacentral:rRNA from 1 species
CCUACGGGAGGCAGCAGUGGGGGAUAGUGCACAAUGGGGGGAACCCUGAUGCAGCGACGCCGCGUGGGUGAAGAAGGGCCUCGGCGCGGAAAGCCCUGUCAGCAGGGAAGAAAAUGACGGUACCUGAAGAAGAAGCCGCGGCUAACUACGUGCCAGCAGCCGCGGUAAGACGUCGGGGGCAAGCGUAAUCCGGAGUUACUGGGGGUAAAGGGGGCGCAGACGGCGAUGCAAGCCAGGAGUGAAAGCCCGGGGCCCCACCCCGGGACGGCUCUUGGAACUGCGUGGCUGGAGUGCAGGAGGGGCAUGCCGACUUCCUGUUGUAGCGGUGAAAUGCGUAGAUAUCAGGCGGAACCCCGGUUGCGAAGGCGGCCUGCUGGACUGCAACUGACGUUGAUGCCCGAACGCGUGGGUAGCAAACAGGAUUAGAUACCCGGGUAGUC